GUGGGGAAUAUUGCGCAAUGGGGGAAACCCUGACGCAGCAACGCCGCGUGCAGGAAGAAGGUCUUCGGAUUGUAAACUGUUGUCGCAAGGGAAGAAGAAAGUGACGGUACCUUGUGAGAAAGUCACGGCUAACUACGUGCCAGCAGCCGCGGUAAUACGUAGGUGACAAGCGUUGUCCGGAUUUACUGGGUGUAAAGGGCGUGUAGGCGGGAUAGCAAGUCAGUCGUGAAAUACCGAGGCUCAACCUCGGGGCUGCGAUUGAAACUGUUAUUCUUGAGUAUCGGAGAGGAAAGCGGAAUUCCCAGUGUAGCGGUGAAAUGCGUAGAUAUUGGGAGGAACACCAGUGGCGAAGGCGGCUUUCUGGACGACAACUGACGCUGAGGCGCGAAAGUGUGGGGAGCAAACAGGAUUAGAUACCCCAGUAGUCC
rnacentral:rRNA from 1 species